AGCAGUCGCCGCGGUAAUACGGAGGGUGCAAGCGUUAAUCGGAAUUACUGGGCGUAAAGCGCACGCAGGCGGUCUGACAAGUCAGAUGUGAAAUCCCCGGGCUUAACCUGGGAACUGCAUUUGAAACUGUCAGGCUGGAGUCUUGUAGAGGGGGGUGGAAUUCCAGGUGUAGCGGUGAAAUGCGUAGAGAUCUGGAGGAAUACCGGUGGCGAAGGCGGCCCCCUGGACAAAGACUGACGCUCAGGUGCGAAAGCGUGGGGAGCAAACAGGAUUAGAUACCCCUGUAGUCCCUGUCUCUUAUAA
rnacentral:rRNA from 1 species